CAGAGCAAUUUUUUGGUAGUCUUCAGCCGGGAGAAGAUGGGUGCAGAGAAGAGUGAAACGGGCUCAGUCAGUUUCAGGAUAUGCCUUACAAGCCAUCCAUGUGAGAUAUCCAAGGGGUUCAAGACGGAUUGAAAAGGAGCUGGAGUAGGUGGUCGAUUGAGGAAGGAGCUGGAGCAGAGGUGGAAUCGAGGCUGCCCCUACGUGCGCUAAGAAGCUGCCAGAAAUUAUGAGGCGCCUGCCAUCCGGACACUGCUGCGCUUUCUCCAUCUCUCAAGAUAAUUUUCUUCAGUUCAUCGAACUACGUGCUGAAACAUGUGUAUUGUUUCUCAAUAUAUCGGGCAUCAACCCACCUCCCAUGAGAUCUCUGAAUUUUCGACGCAUAUUACAUUUGCUGAAUUAUUUCCUCCAGAUAACUAUGCUUGGAUUCACAAAUGCGCGCAAUGCUUUCAAGUAGAGGUUAGUUCUACUUAAGCUGUGCUAUUCCACUUUCAAGUUUUUGGUCCUAGAAGUGUAAUACUUGGUAGGUUAGCUGUAGAAGCAGAAUGUAUAUGGCCUGAAUUUAUAUUUCAGAGUGUAUAAUCUGAUUCAGAGUAUUUUGACCCCUUGUGUUCUGAAACGUUGUGUUGUAUCAUUCUGUCCUGAAAGAAUAGAAGCAAUUCUUCUCUGGGAGAGAAUAUAAACGUUAUUCGCAAACAACAUGCAUCGUCAUUAAGUUUCUUAUUACCAAUUUAAACAUGGUCAGUAAUAGCACAACUAAAGUUUGUGAACAACAUAUCAUUAUGAAAUGGUUGGUUGGAUUGAGUUUUGUAUGGAUUCUACAAGGGCCAUUUCUAUGGAAUUACAAAUUAGUUUUACAUUUUUAUGGCUGGGCUCAUUGUCUUUCGAUUGCCCACAUUCGGAUGGGUUUGUUAUCAAGUGGACACCACAACCACCAUCAAUAGGGCGGGAAUGGAGGUGUGUGAUAUUUUUUUCC